UUUCGGCUAGAGUAGUAAUAAUUAAUCUGUUUAAAAUUCAAAGAGUUUGGCGGUAUUUUAGUCCUGUUAGAGGAACCUGUUUUAUAAACGAUAAUCCUCGUAAAAUCUUUCUUGCUUUUGUAUAGUUAGUAUACCUUCAUUAUUAGAUAAUUUUUUUGAUAUAAAUUAUUGUAAUUGAUUUUGGUCAAAAAUAUUAGAUCGCGGUGCUGCUUAUAAGUAAGUAAAAAUGGGUUACAAUAAAAUUUAUUUAUUAGACGGCUCUGUUAAAGAAAAUAACAGUAAAGGCGGAUUUAAUUGUAAUAUAAGUUUAAUAAGCUUUUAUGAUAUAGGCUCUAAAGUGUGUACAUAUUGCCCGUCGCUUUCAUUUAUUUAGAUGAGAUAAGUCGUAACAUAGUAGAUGUACUGAA
rnacentral:rRNA from 1 species